GACUGCGGAGGAUCAUUACUGAACUGUUGACACGAGUUGUUGCUGGUCCUCAAAUUGGGGGCAUGUGCACGCUCUGUUUACACAUCCACUCACACCUGUGCACCCUCCGUAGUUCUGUGGCGUGGGGGGCUCUGUCCUCCUGCUGUGGUUCUAUGUCUUUACACACACACUGUAACGAAAGUCUCAUGGAAUGUAGUACCGCGUUUAACGCAAUACAAUACAACUUUCAGCAACGGAUCUCUUGGCUCUCGCAUCGAUGAAGAACGCAGCGAAAUGCGAUAAGUAAUGUGAAUUGCAGAAUUCAGUGAAUCAUCGAAUCUUUGAACGCACCUUGCGCCCUUUGGCUAUUCCGAAGGGCAUGCCUGUUUGAGUAUCAUGAACACCUCAACUCUCAUGGUUUGCCAUGAUGAGCUUGGACUUUGGGGGUCUUGCUGGCCUAUGGUCGGCUCCUCUUAAACGAAUCAGCUUGCCAGUGUUUGGUGGCAUCACAGGUGUGAUAACUAUCUACGCUUGUGGUUCUCCAUCAGGUAACCUUCAGUGAUGGAGGUUCGCUGGGGCUCAUAAAGGUCUCUCCUCAGUGAGGACAGCUUUUUGAACGUUUGAUCUCAAAUCAGGUAGGACUACCCGCUGAACUUAAGCAUAUCAAUAANCGGAGG
rnacentral:sRNA from 1 species